ACGCGGUGGCGCAUUGAAUUUUCCCGGGGAAUUUGGCGCGCGGGGAAGUUGCUGGGUUUGGGUAGUGGAUACCGGCUGUGAGGUCUAGAUUUAUAUAUUUUUAAAGAAAGAACCAGUCUUGCUAACAUGGCAGAAGUAAUGGAGGUUGUGAAUGCUGAUGCUGCGGCUGGAGAUGCUGAGCUCCUCAAAGCCAAGAAGGAUGAAAAGGUUUCACCAGAAGAGAUGACUUCCAAGGACUACUACUUUGACUCAUAUGCCCACUUUGGCAUCCAUGAGGAGAUGCUGAAGGACGAAGUGCGCACGCUAACCUACCGCAACUCGAUGUACCACAACCGGCACCUCUUCAAGGACAAGGUUGUGCUGGACGUCGGCUGCGGCACCGGCAUCCUCUCUAUGUUCGCCGCUAAGGCAGGCGCCAAAAAGGUCAUCGGCGUCGACUGCUCCAACAUCGUCGACCACGCCAAGACCAUUGUCAAGGCCAACAAACUCGACCACAUCGUUGAGAUAAUGAAGGGUAAGAUGGAGGAGAUCACCCUGCCAGUGGAGAAGGUGGACAUCAUCAUCAGCGAGUGGAUGGGCUACUGCCUCUUCUACGAGUCCAUGUUGGACACGGUGCUGUACGCCCGCGACAAGUACCUGGCCAAGGACGGCAUGCUCUUCCCCGACCGCGCCACACUCUUCAUCACAGCUAUCGAGGAUCGGCAGUACAAGGACGACAAAAUCAACUGGUGGGACGACGUGUACGGCUUCGACAUGAGCUGCAUCCGAGAGGUGGCCGUCUCAGAGCCGCUGGUCGACGUGGUCGACCACAAACAGGUGGUGACCAACUCGUGUCUGCUGAAGGAGGUUGACCUCGCCACCAUCACCAAGGAGGAGCUGGCCUUCUCCGCGCCCUUCAGCCUCCAGGUCCGCCGCAACGACUACGUCCAGGCCUUCGUCACCUACUUCAACGUCGAGUUCACCAAGUGUCACAAACGCGUCGGAUUCAGCACAGCGCCAGCGGCGGCCUACACCCAUUGGAAGCAGACAGUGUUUUAUAUAGACGAUACCAUAACAGCCAAGGUUGGCGAGACGAUCGAGGGAGUGUUCUCGUGCUCGCCGAAUCCGCGUAACAACGUGAGUACCGGGCGCCGUCGCCGCGACCCUGACCCGGCCGCCUGACCUGACCCUCAGCGCCGGAGGCGCGCUACACCCACUGGAAGCAGACGGUUUUCUACACGUCCGAUUACCUAACGUGCAAAGUGGGCGAGACCAUCGACGGUGUGUUCUCCAUGAAGCCCAACGCUAGGAAUAAUCGUGACCUGGACUUCAACAUCAGCCUAGAGUUCCACGGAGAGCUGUGCACCGUCAAGGACAACAGGAGCUACAAAAUGCGCUAAGGAUACUUAGAGGACUUCCAGUCGCGGUGCGCGCCGCCCGGUCCGCCGACGUUCCGGCCGUCGUCGCCCCGCAGCGAGCAGCCAGAAGCGCGGGCGUCACACGGCAGUCGCAGCUCCGACCGGCCCCGAGCGGCGCGAACGCUUUUGAAACGUGUACUUGGACCGUCGUGGAUGUAUGGGGACAACCGACCCCUGAAACGAUACGUUCCUCUCUGGCGUCGGUCGACUUUGGACGGAUUUUCUCUCGCUGGCCGCCCUGUGUACGGUCCUCGCUGACAUGUCAGACGGUUGUCGCGCUGUUGAUGGUUCGGUCCGCGGCAGUCCCGCCGCUGACUGGCGGUGAGGCGGCAGCGGCCGGGCCCGCCGCUGGCGCGCGCACUAGUUACGGGUCGCCACGGCCCGCCUGCUGUGAUGUAGUUCCGCACAGUCCGCGCGUCCCGCCCGACCGCACUCCGGCCCCCCAUUCGGCGGCGGCCGCGCGCUGGGCCGCCGCAUACUAUGUGCUCGUGCUUUCGUCAUCAAUAAACCCAUAAAGUAGA
rnacentral:misc_RNA from 1 species